AUGUAAACCGUCUUCCCCCAUCUCAUUCUCUCUGAUAUAAACCGUGAGUUACCCAUCUCUCACUAUCGCUCUUCUCCCUCUCAUUCUCUUCAACAUAAUCCAUCUCCGAAUCAGUAUUAUGGAUAUUGUUCUUCAUCAUCAACAAGGAAAUCACUAAAACAAUCACAGUGAAAAAAAUAGACUUGUUGUUAUCCUCUUUCAUCAGUGUCGUCUCCAUCUGAUUUCAGAUUGCAUAAGGAUAUGGCCCAAUAAUUAUUCUGUUGAUUUGAUAAACAUAUUUUUUUGAAUCUGCUCUACUUUUUUCAAAAUAUAUCAUCAGCAUUCAAUUCGAAUUUUGAGAAGAGGGACCAAAUUUGUUGGUAACCGUUCGUGAUAAAGCAGUUAUUUUCUUAAAAUGUACACACAACCAUGUUUUUUUAGGCCGUUGAUGUCAAAGGGAUACGGUUUUUACAGAUUUUUCGAAUCCUGGAUUCUUAUUGGCUUUCAUCUGAGGCUUAAUUUAUUCUCUUCACUAAAUUGGUCAUUCACAAUACUCCAAAAUCUUUUGAAGGUUUGUGCAGUUUGGUGGUGUAGACUGUAGACGACAACAGAGAGUGAAGCCCAAAAACUCAAAUGCCAACAUAAAGAUAGGCUGACAAGAACGGUGUUCGAAAAGCAGGUCUAAAAUCUCAGUUCACUUUGUGUAAAGGAGGUUCAAGACAAGCGAGUGAUCAGACAAGAACAUCUCAAUUGGCAAAGUCAAAGAGGAAUUGGCAAUUGGCAAUGGACUCACCGACUCUGUUCAAGAUGGACCCUGACUUUGCUUUCCUGAAUAAUUUAAUUAAAUCAUGAGAUUACCUCAGAAUAAUUUGGAUAGUUCCAGAGUGUCAAAAUGCAACAAAGAAAUGCGGUAAGCUCUUCAUAAUCAAAUUCAUGAUUUACACUUGACAUACUUUCUUCAGCUACAGACCUGAGUACAAUUUUUCUAUCGGGACAAAUGUUAAAGAUCAGAAGGAAUGAUUUCUCUUGCAGUUGCAUCAUCAGGUUCUUCCACCGGUUUUUUAUUACAAGUUGCCCAAUAUGUGUCCAUUUGCUAGCAUAGUGGAUUACAAGCAAGCAAGCUGUAUCGUAACAUUAGAUAUGAUUGAGGGUGAUAAGAGGGGAAUUGCAUAUGGGUGUAUUGGACUAAAGUGGACUAAGAGAAAGAGGAUACAGGCCCUGGGAAAAGCCGAUUAUGAAUAUUGCUUCGCUGGGUUGUUGGUCGAGCAUGUGAAAUGGCUAAACGCUGAAAAGACCCAUUUCAUGAAUGUAAAAAGGAAGGGGUGACUGCAAAAAGAGGUAAUAAGUGCUCAUGUGGGUGUGGGAAAUUUCCUUGGUAAAUCCCCCACUUUGGCCAGAGGUCAGCGUCUUAAGGUAUAUAGUUCUGUUGGUAUUGAUAUUGGCAAAUUUGUAUUCAGGAAAGUACUUUGUCAAUACUACUGUGACACCAAAUUUGCAACCAAACAUAUUCAAAUCAGCAAAAAGAGAGAAUUUUAGUUCAUUUGAAAACCGAAAUGCUAAAUUUGUUUUUUAAUGACAUAGAACACCCUCGAACCAAUGGGCAAUCAAGAUCUCAAUCACAUAACAUUAAUCACUUUCAUUGUUUCCAAACAUUGAACACCGCGUAUUUGUGACUUAAAAACACAAUGUUCAGCUAAUCACUUUAAAACCCAAUUCCAAACAGGCAAACACCACCUUUUUUGCUACUGUUUUGUUGUGAAUUGUUUGUUUGGAAGCUACAGAUUUUUUGGGGGUUGUUUGAAGGCUGUUUAGAAGGUGUGUUUUAGUUUUUUUUAGCUGCUGUUUGUGGGCAUGUUUAAAAUCUGUAUUAUAGCUGUUUUUUUAGCUGUUUUAGCUGCUGUUUGGGGGCUGUUUGAAGGCUGUUUUGUGCAGUUUUUCAUGGCUUUUUUGAGGCUAUUUUGCUGGUGUUUUUGGCAGCUGUUUUGAGGCUAUUUUGUGCAUAUUUGGAGGCUGUUUUGAGGCAGAUUUGAAGAUUGUUUCUAGGCUAACAUUGUCGCUCUUUUGAAGUCCGCAUGCCUUCACGUUAAAGAAAGAAAGAACGAAAUUGCUCAAUGCCUCCACAGACACCAGUGACCACAAACCCACCCAGUGUGGACUUGAACCUAUCAAAUAAUCUUAAUGAACUGACAUAUUGUGUAUGCAAGAAAGUGAGCUAUGGGGACAUGGUGGCAUGCGAUAACCCUAAAGUUAGGGAGGGAAUGACCUGGGGCAAUAUUUUCAAACCCAACUGUAUUAAAUCCAACAUUUCACAGUGCCUACCGAUCUCCCCAUUGCAAAUCAAAGAGGGAUGGCCUCAAGGAUACCUAUCCUGAUGAUAUUCUUGCACCAGUGUCGAAGGACUUUGAAGAUCUUGUGAUUGAGCAUUUUAGAGUUGGUGGUCAUUACAUUCUCAAGGCUUGUGAUGAAAGGCUAUCUAAUUGGGUCUCUAUAGAAGACACUUUUAUUUGUGAAACAAGUAUUCCAAAUGCAAAUUCAGUUGGUUUCAAACUAAUGUUAGCCAAGAUUGUGCCAAAAUUUCUAUCCGCACUCAAUGAAGUUUAUGUAUAUGAAAUACUACUUUUAUUUCAUUCCAUUUAAUUUUUACUUAAGACUAAGUUUGAUAGAUCA